UGCUCGCUUCGGCAGCAAUAUACUAAAAUUGGAACGAUACAGAGAAGAUUAGCAUGGUCCCUGUGUGAGCAUGAUACCCAAAUUCAUGAAGGUUCCAUAUUUUU